rnacentral:tRNA from 1 species
AGGGCUAUAGCUCAGUUAGGUAGAGCACCUCGUUUACACUACGGUUCGAGUCCGUAUAGCCCUA